rnacentral:ncRNA from 2 species
AAUAGACUAUCGGGUUGAGGUUGUGGAAGAGGGGUGAAAAUCCCCCGCUGCCCCGCAGCCGUGACCGGGGACGAAAGCCGCUUGGAGGUCUACCUGACCUCUGGGGAAGGAGGUCCCAAGUAGGGAUUUCCCGAAAAGAGGCUUCCUUCCUUGGGCUAAAGGCUUGAUAUAAACAGCCUUUAGCCGACAGACCACUGGUGCCGAAAGACACUGGGAAGGUGCGGCAAGUAGGUUGAUCCGGAAGCCGGAAGACCACCUCAACCCUAAAAAACCC